rnacentral:rRNA from 1 species
CAGUAGCCGCGGGAAUACGAAGGGUGCAGGCGAUACUCGGAAUUACUGGGUGUAAAGCGUGCGUAGGUGGUGGUUUAAGUCCGUUGUGAAAGCCCUGGGCUCAACCUGGGAAUUGCAGUGGAUACUGGAUCACUAGAGUGUGGUAGAGGAUAGUGGAAUUUCCGGUGUAGCAGUGAAAUGCGUAGAGAUCGGAGGGAACAUCUGUGGCGAAGGCGACUAUCUGGGCCAACACUGACACUGAGGCACGAAAGCGUGGGGAGCAAACAGGAUUAGAGACCCCCGUAGUCCCUGUCUCUUAUAC